AUCAGUCUACAAACAUAAUAGUCUUAAUGCUUUAAUGUUAUCCCACUUCACAUUAAAGCUCGACUACGGAUACUUUAAGAAUAGUGUCCUUAUGUUUAAUGUGUUCUCAUGAUUAAGUCACACUUAAUACAUUAAAUGGACUAUCUAUUCCAGGGACUUUAUUAAUCAACCAUUAAUAAAGAAAAUGCCUUUUAUUAUUAAUAAAUAAUUCGAUACAAGUACCAAAAGUAUUGGCCUCUAGGGCUUACACCAACAGAAGUACCCAUGUGCAUUUGUGUGUUUUACUAGUUGCUAUUAUAGCUAGUAAUUCUGUUUGCUUCUGCUGCUGCUUAAACUGUUGUUAUGUUGUUUAACUGCUGAUGUGUUUUUUCUUGUGAACAAAAUGGACAGAUAUAUGUUUUAGCCAAAAUUUGCCAAAGGGGGAGUUUGUUGGUUCUAAGUAUUGACAGCAAUUUUGGUAAAACAAAGAGUGUUCACAAGAUGUUACAUAUGAUGUCUUAACAUAAGAUGUCUUGUACCUGUUGGAGGUUUAAAAAUAUAAUUAUGCAGGAUUGUUUCAAGAUGUCAUACACGAUGUCAUGACAUCUGAUAUUGUGUACCUGCUGGAAAUUUUAAAUGGAAUUAUGCAGGAUUGUUCCAGGAUGUCAGACCCGAUGUCAUGACAUCUGUACACAGAACAUUCGGUGUGAAUGUUAUGUGUUAUGUGAUUGCGCUUUUAAUGGAAAUCUAUGUUUGAUUAAGGAGUUAAUUGUAAACGCAAUCAAUCAAUGAUUACAACGUGAUUUAACUUAUUUCCAAAGAGAUCUAACCAACUGUCAUAAGAAGAUUUGAAUGGAAAAUAGUUUUAGGGUUUUAUGAUGUCCAAGCCCAGCUGAAAGCUUCUAUAAAAAGGACAUGGAAAACCUGAUUUGAUACACAAGAAAUACAGAGCAAAAUAUUAGAAUAAGGGUUUGUGUCUUGUGUGGUCGUGUGACUUGUAAGCCAUUCAAUUCAUCCAUAGAUGACUGAAUUGGUCUGAUUUUUAAGUUGUAAUUUGUCACUCUAAGCUUUUAAGCAUGAGUGUGUGUCUACUUGAUUGAAGCUGCUAAGUAAGAUCAAGUGCGUGUCUCUGAAGAGUGUCUUCUUUUCAUAAGUAAUUCUUGUUUAAUAUCACUGGUGUGAUUGAGGGGNNN
rnacentral:lncRNA from 1 species